rnacentral:rRNA from 1 species
UACGGGGGGGGCAAGCGUUGUCCGGAAUUAUUGGGCGUAAAGAGCGUGUAGGCGGUCCGGUAAGUCGGCUGUGAAAGUCCAAGGCUCAACCUUGGGAUGCCGGUGGAUACUGUCGGGCUAGAGUGCGGAAGAGGCGAGUGGAAUUCCGUGGUGUAGCGGUGAAAUGCGCAGAUAUCAGGAGGAACACCUAUUGCGAAGGCAGCUCGCUGGGACGUUACUGACGCUGAGACGCGAAAGCGUGGGGAGCAAACAGG